rnacentral:siRNA from 1 species
GGGGUAUUACCGAAGGUUCGU